CUGAGUUUUACAAAGGCUGAUCUGUGACGUCACUUGGUCACUCCUGUUUCAUCAGAAAUGAAACUUAUCCCUAGAGUGAGUAAAUUUCACUUUCAGAACGCAGAAAAUAUCAUGGGCGGGAUCUGAGAGUUUCUAUAGAAAUGAAAGCCAUGCUUCUGGUACUAGGGAUGGACAUCCCGAAUCUUUUCGGUGAGCCGGAUCAUUUGGCUACAUUCAGCUAAAAGAGACAUUUGGUUCCCAAACGACUCUUCGUUCAGUCGCGCUUAAAAAAAAUGUACCUACGACUAUGAAGCAAUUGCAAAUUUCUCAUGUAAAGCCUAAAAAGUUGCCUGCCGUGAUAUCAGAUCCUGACACGUGUGUUCACAUACAUUUUAACUGACCAAAUGAUUAGAUGGCACUGCAAAAAGGAGCUGUCAGGAGGUCAACAAGUAGUAGUAACAGUAUCAAAAUCAGCGAGCCAAAUGAACGGCUCUUUAACAAGUGAUUCGGUUCCGAAAAGAUCCGUUCAAAAAGAGCCAAUGUGGAGUGAUUCCUAUCAUGAAUAUUACGCUCUGAGACUCAACGCUGGAGAGUUUCCCCAGAAAAGAUGGCUGACAAAAAUACUAGGGGGGACAGUUGAGGUCUCCUGAGAACCAUCAAACCAGGCUGUCAGUCUUGUGAAACAGUGGAUGUAAAGAAUCUAGCUAGCUAAAGCAUUUACUGCAAAAUUGAAUGGACAAUUUUGUAAGUUGGCCUUGCUGAUAUUUUCCAUGCAAUGCAGUUGAAGUAAUGUAGUUAGCUAACUAUUUUCUUGCUUUUUGUGUAGUGGAGGAUAACAAUAAUUGUAUGCCUAUGGAUGUGUAGCUAGCUAUGUAGCCGAUCUGUGUAUGGAACCUAAAAUGUUUGGUAUAAAUAUUAGUUCAGAACAGUGUUUUUAAUUGCUUCCAACAGUUAAUCAUUAAUCCCCAAUAAAUAUGCACAUGAUUGUUAAAUGUCAAUAGUA